GAUUAACGCUGGCGGCGUGCAUAACACAUUCAAGUCGAACGGUNACGGGACUUCGGUCCCUGAUCAGUGGCGGACGGGUGAGUAACGCGAGCCCAUCUUAGUGCGUCGGAGCUUUGGUAUCAGAACCAUGCGAUCCCAAUACCGCAUAAUGUAUUGGGAUCGCAUGGUUCUGAUACCAAAGCUCCGACGCACUAAGAUGGGCUCGCGUCUGAUUAGAUAGUUGGUGGGGUAACGGCCUACCAAGUCGACGAUCAGUAGCCGGACUGAGAGGUUGAACGGCCACAUUGGAACUGAGAUACGGUCCAGACUCCUACGGGAGGCAGCAGUGGGGAAUAUUGGGCAAUGGGCGAAAGCCUGACCCAGCGACGCCGCGUGAAGGAAGAAGGUCUUCGGAUUGUAAACUUUAGUCAACAGGGACGAAUAAAUGACGGUACCUGUGGAGGAAGCCACGGCUAACUACGUG
rnacentral:rRNA from 1 species